AAAAAUUCUCGGCCUUUUGGCUAAGAUCAAAGUGUAGUAUCUGUUCUUAUCAGCUUAAUAUCUGAUACGUCCUCCAUUGGGGGACAUCGAUAUUAAACUGAUUUUUGAAAGGGGGUGAGGUGCCCGGGGCUUGCUCCGCCCUCACCACGGGUUGACCCGGUAUUGCAGUACUUCCGGGAAUGGCCCACCACUA
rnacentral:snRNA from 1 species